GGGGCACCUGCGUGGCUCGGUCAACAGAUAACACAAGGGUUCAUGAGUUGAUAGUUGCGGAAACUGUAGAAUGGGUAGAUGGAAAGUCACUACUCCCUCCUCUCUCUUUUGCUUGAAAUUGUACAUAUAUAAGAAAACCUUUGUAAAAAUUAUGCAAUCAUCUGGCUUUAUGCAUUUGUCUUUCUUCCUCAGGGAGUUGCAUCAUUAGCGAACGCGGACAUUUAUAAAUGGAGAGCCGUCAAUUCUAAAGGACCUUUUUGCGCGUGCAAGUUUGCAUUUCUGCACCAACCCGGAUUCUGGCACACCGUAGGCACGCGAUACAUUUCAGUGAAGAAGAAAAACAAAAACAAAGGGAAGGUGCCGGGCCACAGUUUGCAAGACUUCCAUUUUGUCAUGGCUGUAAGAAAAUUUUGAAAAUGGAGUCUCUUCUGCAUGGUAAAAGCACCAGUUAGGGAGAGAGAAAAUGCUGACUUCUCCCAGCCUGCAGCCGCCGGGAGGAGGGACUUUUAGAGCCAAAGGGACUUUUAGCUGAGUAAUAAAGCAAUAUCCCUCGCGAACA
rnacentral:lncRNA from 1 species